GAUCCUGGCUCAGGACGAACGCUGGCGGCGCGCCUAACACAUGCAAGUCGAACGAGAGAGAAGGAGCUUGCUUCUUCGAUCGAGUGGCGAACGGGUGAGUAACGCGUGAGGAACCUGCCUCAAAGAGGGGGACAACAGUUGGAAACGACCGCUAAUACCGCAUAAGCCCACGGGUCGGCAUCGACCUGAGGGAAAAGGAGUGAUCCGCUUUGAGAUGGCCUCGCGUCCGAUUAGCUAGUUGGUG
rnacentral:rRNA from 1 species